ACCGGUGCAGGCGCAUUUAAACGCAUUCUUUAACAAUAUAAGUGAUUCGAUUUAUUGCGCAGUUCUGAGGAAACAAAUUCCUUCAAUCUCGUCAUUUGGGAGAUUCUACGGCGACUGGAUAAAGAUCACAACUAUCGAAGAAUUGAGAAAACAAACAUUGAAGCAAGUAAAUGAAAAACUGAUCAUACGAACAGACGACGGAGGGAUAAGACAUCGACGGACGGGGCGAGGGGCUGCGUCGGCGUCACACGUCCUUCAGUACUACCGGUGAAAUUGUUAAAUGUUUCAUUCAUAUAAAUCUUGUACGUAU